UUGGAGGGCAAGUCUGGUGCCAGCAGCCGCGGUAAUUCCAGCUCCAAUAGCGUAUAUUAAAGUUGUUGCAGUUAAAAAGCUCGUAGUUGAAUUUCGGGGUCAGUAGGUUGGUCAUGCCACUGGUAUGUACUGGUCUCACUGAUUCCUCCUUCCUGAUGAGCCGUAAUGCCAUUAAUUUGGUGUUGCGAGGAAUCUGGACUGUUACUUUGAAAAAAUUAGAGUGUUUAAAGCAGGCUAACGCUUGAAUACAUUAGCAUGGAACAAUGAAAUAGGACGUUCGAUCUUAUUUUGUUGGUUUCUAAGAUUGACGUAAUGAUUAAUAGGGAUAGUUGGGGGCAUUAGUAUUCAAUUGUCAGAGGUGAAAUUCUUGGAUUUAUUGAAGACUAACUACUGCGAAAGCAUUUGCCAAGGAUGUUUUCAUUAAUCAAGAACGAAAGUUAGGGGAUCGAAGACGAUCAGAUACCGUCGUAGUCUUAACCAUAAACUAUGCCGACUAGGGAUCGGAUGAUGUUAAUUUUUUAAUGACUCAUUCGGCGCCUUACGGGAAACCAAAGUGUUUGGGUUC
rnacentral:rRNA from 1 species